CCUACGGGUGGCAGCAGUCGGGAAUAUUGCGCAAUGGAGGAAACUCUGACGCAGUGACGCCGCGUGCAGGAAGCAGGUUUUCGGAUUGUAAACUGCUUUCGACAGGGAAGAAAAAAGACAGUACCUGUAGAAUAAGCUCCGGCUAACUACGUGCCAGCAGCCGCGGUACUACGUAGGGAGCAAGCGUUAUCCGGAUUUAUUGGGUGUAAAGGGUUCGUAGACGGUGAAGCAAGUUAGGUGUGAAAUCCCUCGGCUUAACUGAGGAACUGCAACUACAACUACUUCCCUUGAGUACUGGAGAGGAUAGGGGAAUUCCUGGUGUAGCGGUGAAAUGCGUAGAUAGUAGGAGGAACACCAGUGGCGAAGGCGACUAUCUGGACAGUAACUGACGUUGAGGCACGAAAGUGUGGGGAGCAAACAGGAUUAGAUACCCGAGUAGUC
rnacentral:rRNA from 1 species